UACGAAGGUGGCUAGCGUUGUUCGGAUUUACUGGGCGUAAAGGGUGCGUAGGUGGUUUCGUAAGUCGGAUGUGAAAUCCCAUGGCUCAACUGUGGAAUUGCAUUCGAAACUGCGGGACUUGAGUGCAGGAUGGGAGAGCGGAAUUCUUGGUGUAGCGGUGAAAUGCGUUGAUAUCAAGAAGAACACCGGUGGCGAAGGCGGCUCUCUGGAAUGCAACUGACACUGAGGCACGAAAGCUGGGGGAGCAAACAGGAUUAGAUACCCUGGUAGUCCCAGCCGUAAACGGUGCGCACUUGGUGUAGGGGGUAUUGACCCCCCCUGUGCCGGAGCUAACGCGUUAAGUGCGCCGCCUGGGGAGUACGGCCGCAAGGCUAAAACUCAAAGAAAUUGACGGGGGCCCGCACAAGCGGAGGAGCAUGUGGCUUAAUUCGAUGCAACGCGAAGAACCUUACCAGGGCUUGACAUGUACCUGCAUGCCCCCCGAAAGGGGGGAGGCCUUCGAGGGUGGUACACAGGUGCUGCAUGGCUGUCGUCAGUUCGUGCCGUGAGGUGUUGGGUUAAGUCCCGCAACGAACGCAACCCCUAUGGUUAGUUGCCCCCGCCGGUGAUGAGCCGGUGAGCACUCUAGCCAGACUGCCUGUACAAGCAGGAGGAAGGUGGGGACGACGUCAAGUCAGUAUGGCCCUUACGUCCUGGGCUGCACACGUGCUACAAUGGUCGGUACAGAAGGAUGCGAAGUCGCGAGGCGGAGCAAAUCCUCAAAACCGGCCCCAGUUCGGAUUGGAGUCUGCAACUCGACUCCAUGAAGUCGGAUUCGCUAGUAAAGGCGUAUCAGCUACGACGCCUUGAAUACGUUCCCGGGCCU
rnacentral:rRNA from 1 species